GACGAACGCUGGCGGCGUGCUUAACACAUGCAAGUCGAACGGAAAGGCCCUGCUUUUGUGGGGUGCUCGAGUGGCGAACGGGUGAGUAACACGUGAGUAACCUGCCCUUGACUUUGGGAUAACUUCAGGAAACUGGGGCUAAUACCGGAUAGGAGCUCCUGCUGCAUGGUGGGGGUUGGAAAGUUUCGGCGGUUGGGGAUGGACUCGCGGCUUAUCAGCUUGUUGGUGGGAUAGUGGCUUACCAAGGCUUUGACGGGUAGCCGGCCUGAGAGGGUGACCGGCCACAUUGGGACUGAGAUACGGCCCAGACUCCUACGGGAGGCAGCAGUGGGGAAUAUUGCACAAUGGGCGGAAGCCCGAUGCAGCAACGCCGCGUGCGGGAUGACGGCCUUCGGGUUGUAAACCGCUUUCGCCUGUGACGAAGCGUGAGUGACGGUAAUGGGUAAAGAAGCACCGGCUAACUACGUGCCAGCAGCCGCGGUGAUACGUAGGGUGCGAGCGUUGUCCGGAUUUAUUGGGCGUAAAGGGCUCGUAGGUGGUUGAUCGCGUCGGAAGUGUAAUCUUGGGGCUUAACCCUGAGCGUGCUUUCGAUACGGGUUGACUUGAGGAAGGUAGGGGAGAAUGGAAUUCCUGGUGGAGCGGUGGAAUGCGCAGAUACCAGGAGGAACACCAGUGGCGAAGGCGGUUCUCUGGGCCUUUCCUGACGCUGAGGAGCGAAAGCGUGGGGAGCGAACAGGCUUAGAUACCCUGGUAGUCCACGCUGUAAACGGUGGGUACUAGGUGUGGGGUCCAUUCCACGGGUUCCGUGCCGUAGCUAACGCUUUAAGUACCCCGCCUGGGGAGUACGGCCGCAAGGCUAAAACUCAAAGGAAUUGACGGGGCCCCGCACAAGCGGCGGAGCAUGCGGAUUAAUUCGAUGCAACGCGUAGAACCUUACCUGGGUUUGACAUGGAUCGGGAGUGCUCAGAGAUGGGUGUGCCUCUUUUGGGGUCGGUUCACAGGUGGUGCAUGGCUGUCGUCAGCUCGUGUCGUGAGAUGUUGGGUUAAGUCCCGCAACGAGCGCAACCCUUGUUCACUGUUGCCAGCACGUUAUGGUGGGGACUCAGUGGAGACCGCCGGGGUCAACUCGGAGGAAGGUGGGGAUGACGUCAAGUCAUCAUGCCCCUUAUGUCCAGGGCUUCACGCAUGCUACAAUGGCUGGUACAGAGAGUGGCGAGCCUGUGAGGGUGAGCGAAUCUCGGAAAGCCGGUCUCAGUUCGGAUUGGGGUCUGCAACUCGACCUCAUGAAGUCGGAGUCGCUAGUAAUCGCAGAUCAGCAACGCUGCGGUGAAUACGUUCCCAGGGCU
rnacentral:rRNA from 1 species